GUUUACGACAAAUUCAAACUCAUAUGGACCGAACUUUCUUAAUCUUGAUUUCUUGCCUUAUGGUAGCACAGCUGCCCACCAUGUCUUCCAAGUAGUUAAGCAGCUCACCCUUUCCUAUCAAUGUACCUUUCAUUGAUUAAGGUGCUUUGCCUUUUAUGCGUUCAACAUGAGAACUCAUAGAACUCUCAUGCAUAAUUAACUCGAUUGGAUUGGCACAGAACCAAAAUAAUGUCAUCACGAUAGGUUGUAAACCUAAACUCGUGUGCUAGUGAUGAUUGAUACGGUUUAUUUGAUUUGUUCUUGAAACCUUUCAAGACCAUUAAGACUCCCACUGACUCCUUGACAUAUAAGAUCCUCUUGUCAAUAACCAUUUCUUGACAAACAAAUAUUCAAGAGUUAGUGUAGCUUUUAUCAAAACACUUCAUAAAUUGGUCCUAGUUGGUCUUUGUCUUAUCCAAGACAUCACAACUUUCCACAUUUAAUGAAAGUUAUAAACCUUCUUAAUACCUUUCACUCAAUGUCACAAUCUUAACUUUAAGACUUGUUAUUGGAACGAAGUAUGAUUGACUUAUUGAUUUAACCAUUUCUUCAAUUCUUGAUUCCUCUUCUUAGACAUACAAUUGUACUAAGACUCACUUAGAGGAUCAAUUGAGAUAUGGUUCUUAAUCAUUAAGACCUAUCAUAAAGCAUAAAAGGUACUCUCCCUUCUUCUUAGAAUGGAGAAACUUUUAUCUUUCUGCCUACUUGAUUCUUCUUAUUCGUUCUACUAUUGAUUUGAACUUUUUCAAUCAAUUCAGAAUUACACUUAAUCUUGUAAGUAUAAUCAUAUUUACUAAACCUUUAGUAAAUUAUACAAACCCUAAUUCUUAAGGGUUCUCUAUUGUACAUGCAUGUUAUCCAAGACAUCCUAUGUGCUCAUACAAACCCUAAUUCUAGCAUAUUGUUUAAGACAUCCUAUGUGCUCAUACAAACCCUAAUGCUUGGAUCUAGGUUUCUCUAUUGUACAUGCAUGUUAUCCAAGACUAUAAACCCUAAUUCUAGCAUACAAGUACUCAUAUUAGAUAUUAGAAUAGGUUCAUAAUGUUACCUUGAUUGUUAUGUAGCAAUAACAAUCCCAAUUCCUCCUUGAAUUGACUUUGGAAGGCUUAGAGUCACAAGUGUCACUCCUCUAAUGGUUCACAAACACCAUAAGCAAGAGGAUGAAGAGGAGAGAGGAUGGAGGCUGCCCAAAACGUGUUCUAACCCUAGAAAAGACAUUCCCCACGUUUUUGAGCCUUAAGGGUUCUAUAUAUAGUGAGGCUAUUAGGGUUAUCUAACAAGGAAACCCUAAUUUGGUUGCUUAAGCCCUAAGCAACCCAUAGACUCCUUUAAUCAAGCCCAUGGACGAUUUCCUUAUGGGCUUCCCCUAAGAAUUCGUCCACCUCUUGAUUUAAGACAAUCCAUGGCCCAAAUUGCAAUUAUCUUAUAAUUACAAUUCCAGUCCCUUAAGUUUAAUUAAUCUCUUUUAGUCACAAAACUAAUUACCAAUUAAUUAUUGACUAAUAUUAAUUAAACAAUAUGAUUUCUCCUUUAAUAUAUUAUUCCCAUAAUAUAUUAAUAAAUCAUAUUUAAUCCUUUCUCUCCAUAAUUCAUCCUAUCAAGUUGCUUUGGUGAAGGCAACCCAAAAGGACCAUGCACCAUCGGGUCAAGUACAUACCAAAAUAGUUAUGGACUUAGACACUAAUCCAACAGUCUCCCACUUGGAUAAGUCUAAUAACUAUUAUGCGUAUGACUUCAGAUCCUGAUCUGCAAUCGUAGCUUUCCAAAGCCGCUGUCAACUCUGAUCCUAUCAGAUACGCGUGUCCUUAGAUAAGGGAUCAUAUAUUCCUCCAUUCUAGAUAUCAUAUGAGAUAUGAUUUCAAAUCAUUCUCUUUGUACUAUAUCUCGAUUCCCAAUUUAUGACGACUGACUAAUUGAACAAAUCAAAUUAGCCCUAGCCCGGCCGAGCAUUUACGUUUGUCAUCACUAAAUCAUCGAGGGGCCCAAAGAUAUCGCUUUUAUCCUNNNNNNNNNNNNNNNNNNNNNNNNNNNNNNNNNNNNNNNNNNNNNNNNNNNNNNNNNNNNNNNNNNNNNNNNNNNNNNNNNNNNNNNNNNNNNNNNNNNNNNNNNNNNNNNNNNNNNNNNNNNNNNNNNNNNNNNNNNNNNNNNNNNNNNNNNNNNNNNNNNNNNNNNNNNNNNNNNNNNNNNNNNNNNNNNNNNNNNNNNNNNNNNNNNNNNNNNNNNNNNNNNNNNNNNNNNNNNNNNNNNNNNNNNNNNNNNNNNNNNNNNNNNNNNNNNNNNNNNNNNNNNNNNNNNNNNNNNNNNNNNNNNNNNNNNNNNNNNNNNNNNNNNNNNNNNNNNNNNNNNNNNNNNNNNNNNNNNNNNNNNNNNNNNNNNNNNNNNNNNNNNNNNNNNNNACUUGAAUGAAAGAUAGAAUAACUUACCUUGUUGUUGCUUAUGUUCCUUGAAACCUUGUGAGCCUAGCACCCCAAGUGUGAUGCCUCAAAUGCUUCACACAACACCAAAUGCUCUUGGAAAGACUUUUGAGAGAAUACACACUUCUUGAAAUCGGCCUAGCCCUCUUGUUUCAUAUGUGUAGCCGAUUUUGGUGGAGAAUAGGAUUCUUAUAUAGUGUUGACACAUCUAGGGUUACACCAUGUAAACCCUAAUGUGUCAUGACUCUUCAUUUCCAUGACCCAUGGGUUUGUAACUCCCAUGGAGCAUCCAUGGAGCAUCCUAUGGGUAGAACCCAACUUGAUAAUCCAUGGAGCCUCUUAGCCCACUAUAUAAGAUAUGAAUGAUUUACAUAAUCAACCCAUAUAUUUAAUUAGUUAUCUUUUGAUCACUUAAUUAAUUCCAAAUUAAUUCAUUGAUUAAACUAAUCAAAUAAUAUUAUUAAUAUAUUAGAACUUAUAAUAUAUUAAUAAUCUCUAAGUGUUAUUCCUCUCAUUUAGUCUAUCCAUUUGCAUGGUGCCAUGCAACCCAAAUGGACCAUGCCGGGUCGGGUCAAGUACUGACCCGAAAUAGUUAUGGACUUAGACACCUUAUCCAACAGACUGGACCCGUCGUAUGCAUGACUGGUAUUCCACCCGAGGCUGAUUGGCCCUGGCAUGAGUGUUUGUGUUUUAGUGGGUUGAUUUUGUAUGAUAUUGUGGGACAAAUGUCCUAUCAGCACAAAGGCUUCGCCUCGGGAAGAUGGAUAGUUGGGUUUCCAAUUCUUUGGAUCAUCAGGAUUUUGUAAGUUGGCAGAAUGGCAUGAAGGAUAGACCUUAUGAAAAGGUUCGAUUGAGAUUCUCAUCACCUUUCUCGAUUCACACUUGCAAAAGUGCGUCAUGGAUUAGGAGGCUAUAGUAUCAUUGGAGAACAUUCAUGUCGUUGAGUGCCUAGAUUAUUUGGAGAGGCCUGUGGCCAUUUGGGAGAGAGGGGUGAAGGUUCUGUGGGACAAGGAGGUACCUUUGGUAAGGGUACAGUGGGAGCUCCAAAGAGGGUCCGAGUGGACGUGGGAGCCGAAGGCAGAGUUGCGGGAACACUAUCCGAGAAUCUUCGUUGUAGCAGACUUUGAGGACGAAGUCUAGUUCAAGUGGGGGAGAAUUCUAACGCCCCGAUUCUCGAAUACCAAUUUAUGGUUAUCAAUUCUCGUGAAUUCAAGAUCUACUCGACGAGUUGGUUGCUUGAUUCGUCGAGUAGCAGCGAGUUUGGGCCACGUGUUUAAGCGACCAAUUCGCUGAUUCGGAAGAGUGACUCGACGAGUUGGAGUUGAGGGUUAAAUCCUAAUUUCUGGGGUUUGGCACCCUAUUUAAGGGACCAUUAGCCUUCCUUAGUUCCUUUGCAGCCUCUUGAGAGUCCAGAAAUCCUAAUUCGUGUGAUUGUGCUCCAUUUGUGCGUUUUAAAGCUUUGGAAGGUGUAUCUUUGUAAGAAGAACUUGAAGAGCAAGUGACUAGGAGCAAAGGAAAUGUUGGGAUAUGAUAUCUACCUCAGAUGGCAUCUUUUGGUAGGUAUCAAGUCGUUACCUUGACCUCAUUUCAUUAUAGAUCUCAUUUUGUUAAAGUUUUGGGCUUUUCUAGCAUAUUGUGAAGUUGUUUUUGGGUAUGAGCUUGGAUCUGAAGUUGUAACUUUAGAUCUGAACUCUUCUUGGUCUCUAAAUCCAUAAAGCUAUCAGCUUUGGCAAGUAUGGACCCCUCCUUAAGUAUAAAACCCCAUUUCAAGAUUGGUUUUGGCAUUUUGAGUCAUUAGAGCAUUGCAUGCAUGUAAAGUUUGCAACUUUACAUGAUAAGCAUGCCUUGGGAAGUUGGAUCUGUAGUAUUGUAACAUCCGGAAUUCCAGGUAUUAUAUUUUAUCAUUUAUUUUUGAGAAAAAGGGAGGGACUAGGAGAUUUGAGUCGUAGACUCGUUGAGUAGGACCGCGAAUGUUGACUAGAUUAAUGAACGGACUCGACGAGUCGGGAAGGGUGGACUCAACGAGUCCGCGUUGUGGAUUGAAACCCUAAUUCUCGGGGUCUAUGCCCUAUUUAAAGGUUGCCAUGAUAGAAGAGAUUUCACCAAAAUAAGCCUAGAGUGCCUUACAUGUGUACCAACAUUCGACCUUUACAUGUUUAUUGGUCAUGGGGAAGUCAGAUCUAUAGAUUAGAGAAGCAGAUCUAACCUCAGGAGGUCAGAUGAGUGUUUUCAUUGGAGGGACUCGCCGAGCCCAUAAGGGACUCGACGAGUCGAAUCUGGUUGCCCCAUGAUUCGCGACUUGUGAUAAACCGUUGGGUGUGGGGUUGACUCAACGAGUCGAGUGAGGACCAGGGACGAAGACGACACGCAUGAACUCGCCGAGCCACACAAGUGCACUCGACGAGUCUGGUCAAAGUCUGACUGUUGACUUUCGUUGACUGCUAGGGUUUAGUGAGUGUUUGGACUUAUGAGCCAUUAGAGGGAUAGAAUGGUCUUUUAGCCUUCUUAGAGAACUGAGAGUAAUUAUUUAUGUGAGUAGGUAGAGGCUAGUGCAGUAUUUCAGAGUGUGAGGUUUACCGAGUUAUCCGAGGUGAGUGUUCUCAUUAUACUUUACCUAGAGUGGUAAUUAGAGUUAUGUGACGGAGUAUAUUGUAUGCCAUGUGUUAUCUAUGUGAUUAUGUGCUAUAUUAGAUACAGAGUUUACAAAGUUAGGACUGAAUGGUUCACAGAGUUAGGACCAGAAGGUCCAUAAAGUAUGGGACUGAAGGGUCCCACUGAGACACUUUGACCAGAGAGUCAUACAGAGUUAUAGCCUCGACUGGCUAAUAUGUGUUGCAUGUGGUAUUUUGGGGAACUCACUAAGCAUUUAUGCUUACAGUGUUGUGUUAUGUGUUUCAGGUACAAGUGAGGAUCGCAGGAAGGCGCCGACAUAAUCAGUACACGCACAUGAGGAGUUUUUAUACAUUAUGAUCUUGGGUUGUGUUUCUAUGGAUUGAUAUGUGAUACAAUGAGAUUUUUAUAAUAUUAUGAAUGAAAGUAUGCUUAUAAAAAUGUGAAAAAAUUGUUUGAAAAAUUACGGUGUUACAAUUAUGGAGCCUUAGCAUGGCUUAAAAAGCAUCUGUAUGGAUGAAGGACUGAAAGGACUCGGUGAGUCGCAUUGUAGAAUUGGCAGGUCAUAUGAAGAUGUUCAUGAACUCAACGGGUUGGAUGAGAAACUACGCGAGUUCGAUGAAGAUUUACUUGGGCUCGGCGAGUGUCAUGUUGACUCGACGAGUUGGCAUCUUAUGCAAGGAACUCGGCGAGUAGCUGAAGGUACUCGACGAGUUAAGGUCAACAUCGACUGUUAACCUUGAUAGUUGACUUUAACCAAGGGUUGACCAUUUUGAAUUUUGAGGAUAAUUGGUAAGAAGGUAUUUAUGAAUUGGAUCUUUGAUUGUUAUAGGUGUUGGAGUUUGGGGUAGUGUUUCGGGAGCGUGAUUCGUGGUUCAGUCCGGCAUUGCAAGGUGAGUUAUCCUCACUGUACUCAAGGGUCUAAGGCACCAAGGCCGACCCUUUGUUUGUUCAUGGGAUUAUUAAUAUUGUAAUAUGUUAAUUCUGUAUCUUGGUAGAUGUGGUGGUUAUAUGCUAGUAUGAUUUGUUAGAUCGGUAGCCUGGUAGAUCGGAGAUGGUUAUGCUUAGUGACCCAUAGUUGGUCUGACUGUCUGCAUGCUAGUUGUUAUGCCAGUUGGGUAGAUCUAUAGGACUACCUGUAGUAUUAUGUGAUUAUCUGUAUAUGCAUUAGUUGUGUNUCAAGUGACGUUUGGUUUUCCAUAACUUAAGGACAAGUUAUGGACUCCGUUAAAACACAAUAUGAUCAAGAAUUAAACUACCACAUAGGUUACAAAUAAUUCCUAUGAUCAUCUUGAUGGGUUUUGGUCAUAAGACAUCAUNGUGCGGUAACCAACAAACCCAAGAGCGUUCCAGAUAUGAGCGGAGGUAGACUCGAAUUGUGGGCUCGAUGGCGAUCUAGGUUUAUCUAUUGUACACGCAUGUUAUCCAAGACUAUAAACCCUAAUUCUAGCAUACAAGUAAUCAUAUUAGAUAUUAGAAUAGGUUCAUAAUGUUACCUUGAUUGUUAUGUAGCAAUAAAAAUCCCAAAUCUCCUUGUGUUGACUUUGGAAGGCUUAGAGUCACAAGUGUCACACCUCUAAUGGUUCACAAACACCAUAAGCAAGAGGAUGAAGAGGAGAGAGAUGGAGGCUGCCCAAAACGUGUUCUGACCCUAGAAAAGAAAUUCCCCACGUUUUUGAGCCUUAAGGGUUCUAUAUAUAGUGAGGCUAUUAGGGUUAUCUAACAAGGAAACCCUAAUUUGGUUGCUUAAGCCCUAAGCAACCCAUAGACUCCUUUAAUCAAGCCCAUGGAUGAUUUCCUUAUGGGUUUCCCCAUAGAAUUCGUCCACCCCUCGAUUCAAGGCAAUCCAUGGCCCAAAUUGCAAUUAUCCUAUAAUUACAAUUCCAGUCCCUUAAGUUUAAUUAAUCUCUUUUAGUCACAAAACUAAUUACCAAUUAAUUAUUGACUAAUAUUAAUUAAACAAUAUGAUUUCUCCUUUAAUAUAUUAUUCCCAUAAUAUAUUAAUAAAUCAUAUUUAAUCCUUUCUCUCCAUAAUUCAUCCUAUCAAGUUGCUUUGGUGAAGGCAACCCAAAAGGACCAUGCACCAUCGGGUCAAGUACAUACCAAAAUAGUUAUGGACUUAGACACUAAUCCAACAGUCUCCCACUUGGAUAAGUCUAAUAACUAUUAUGCGUAUGACUUCAGAUCCUGAUCUGCAAUCGUAGCUUUCCAAAGCCGCUGUCAACUCUGAUCCUAUCAGAUACGCGUGUCCUUUAGAUAAGGGAUCAUAUAUUCCUCCAUUCUAGAUAUCAUAUGAGAUAUGAUUUCAAAUCAUUCUCUUUGUACUAUAUCUCGAUUCCCGAUUUAUGACGACUGACUAAUUGAACAAAUCAAAUUAGCCCUAGCCCGGCCGAGCAUUUACGUUUGUCAUCACUAAAUCAUCGAGGGGCCCAAAGAUAUCGCUUUUAUCCUACUUUGGAUAAAAGGAACGGAUAAACUUUGAUACAAUGCUUGCUUGCACUCACUCACCGAAUCACACACAACAAUAUGUUUUAUAACACCAAGUUACUAGUGCGUUUACAUAUUAUCAAUGUGCAACCGAUUUGCAAGAUACAACUCACACAUCUCGGUUUCAAGAAUAUAAGAUGUUAUCGUCUCACCAAUCACUCGUGAUACAAUUCAUGGAGUGAUCCAAGUGAGCGUGGGUUUAAUCCAAUGCUCAAAUCAUAUUCAUAAGCACUCAUGAACAUUGCAGCAAACAUUUGCUUAUGUCUAAUACUCUUUUAGACAAUCCACACACCAAUUCACGACAGUCUUCAUUCAUAUCUACUUCCAACAUAUGAACGACUGUGGCCCGUUCGAAUAAUUCGAUUAUUCUUAAUAAAUUCAAUUAUUCUGGAAGUCAAAACAUGCAAAUGUGAAACACAAGAAUAAUACUAAUCCCAUAUGGCCUCAAACCUUUGAGUAUAAAUAAAACUCCUUUUAUUUAUCACCAUAUCGAUUACUCAUUAUUUGUCGUUUCGGGUAAUCAACUUCUUACUUGAAUUAUUACACUUGUCCUAUGCUCUUAGCAUGCACACAAUGUUUACCUAUGGUUCUUACUUUGUGAAAUAGACCAAAUUGAGCACAUUUCCAAUCAUUCUCAUUUCAAAAUCCAUAAUCCUUUUUCAUAAGUGUAAGAAUAUCAAAUUCUUGCCACUGAUAUUACAAAGUCCUCUAUUGCCAAUGAUAUUACAAAGUCCUCUAUCGGAUAUUGUUACAAGACAAUUCCUUAGAUAUGAUGUCUCUCACUCAAAGUACAUUCCUUUGAACAUCCUUUUGCAUAAAGGUUUCUAAUCUAGUCAUAGAUUUUUAAUAUUCAAUUCCCAAUAUGGAUACAUUUCCAUAUUUUCCAUAUGACAACUCAUUCUUAAUAGAAUCUUAUCUAUUCGUAAUGAUGUCGAUAUGGUCCAUCCAAUAUGGAAACAUUUCCAUAAUUUCCAUAUGACAACUCAUUCUUAAUAGAAUCUUUUCUAUUCAUAAUAAUGUCGAUAUGGUCCAUCCAAUACCAUGCUUCCAACUACUCACAAGCGACCAAUCCUCGUCGAACUUUGGAUUGUCCUUUGAUAGUUGUUUAAUUAUUUUAGUCAAAACCGAUUCUAGUCCUUUUUCCCUCUAAAUGCGCUAGACAUUUGGAAAAUUUUAGAAUGGUCAAAUAUUAUAGCAUUUGCAAUCGAUCCAAUACCCGAAGCGUAUGGGACACGAUGCAUAAUAUUUCAUUUGCUAUGUUCUCAAAAUUUGAAUUGUGAAGAGGAAUGUCGUAAUCAUAAUCGAAAUUUUAAGAACACACUAUGUACCCUUGACUAAAUUUAUUAACAUUUCUCAACCUAAUCCUUUAGAUUUGAAAUGAAGCAUAAUAUUCUCUCCCUUAAUUAUAGCAAAACAACUUUACAACCCUUACGACUUUGCAAGGUAUAACUCUUGUUUUCUAUAAUUAAUAUUGCCAACUUGCAAUACGUGCCUUAAUAAUCAUACAAUCAUAACAUUUAUGCUCCCACUAUCAUGAUGAUUAUUAUAAAACAUAACACUUAUGCUCCCACUAGCUUCGACAUGUAUUCAGAAACAUCUUAACUUUCAGAAAAACAAUGCUUAUUGAAUUUCUUAAGUUCAUGUUUCUAAUACUUAGUGCUUUGAUAAUCUUUUAUCAAGGCUUCUUGAACUUAUACACCUUUGCCUUAGAUAGUUCAUAUGUGUGUCUAAACAAUUAAGACUAAUUGCCAAACCUCACAAUUCAAAUUAUGGAAAGGGAUACCGUAACCAUAAUCGAAUUCGAGAAUGCAAUUUUACAAUCACUAUCUUCUUAAAAUCUUUCUUAGUGAAAGCAUUUCCUCACAAUCAUUUUCAUGAAGGAGGAAAUCUUAUGACACUUAGAAUUAAACGGUGCAUGUGUUCCUAUCCAUGUGAAUUUGUUAAAACCAGAGUUUACGACAAAUUCAAAAUCAUAUGAUCGAACUUUCUUAAUCUCGAUUUCUUGCCUUAUGGUAGCACAGCUGCCCACCAUGUCUUCCAAUUACUUAAGCAGGUCACCUUUUCUUAUCAAUGUACUUUCCAUUGAUCAAGGUUCUGGCCUUUCAUGCAUUCAAAUGAGAACUCAUAGGACUUACAUGCAUAAUUAACUUGAUUGGAUUGGCACAGAAACAAAAUAAUGUCAACACGAUAGGUUGUAAACCUCAACUCGUGUGCUAGUGAUGAUCGAUAAGGUUUAUUUAAUUUGUUCUUGAAACCUUUCAAAACCAUUAAGACUCCCAUUGAGUCCUUUACAUAUAAGAUUCUCUUGUCAAUAAACAUUUCUUGACAAACAAAUAUUCAAGAGUUAGUGUAGCUUUUAUCAAAACACUUCAUAAAUUGGUCCUAGUUGGUCUUUGUCUU
rnacentral:lncRNA from 1 species